CAAAAAUAAAAGAGAAAACCUAGAUGUUAUGCAAUGAUAUCAACAUAAAGCAAUGAUAGUUCCAAGGAAGGAUUAACGUCCGAAACGUCAGAAAAAAGAAAUACUAAUUUAGGAAAUGGAACCUUCAGUGUAUAGAUGGACACUAGCAGGAUACUAAUUAACUGUAGUCCCAAGGACAUUUCACACAAGAAUGACCAAAGACAAGAAGUAUGUGGGAUAUCCAACCUCUUCAGUAAUCAAAUCUUCGUCAAGUUUAAAGAAUGCUUCUAUCAAGCCCUGCUUGGUAUUACCACUUCUAUACCCAUCAGUUGUCUUUAAUACUUCUGCUAAAUGCUUUUGAGCAUAGAUAGCAACUUCUGAACCUACAAGUUCAAAAUUCACGUUAUAAAUUACUUGGAUAAGUUAGAUUGAGAAGUCAGUAUUUAGCUGUCACUGCUUGACACAUCCUUCAUCAAACUGAUACACAAUAAGAGGCUAUUCUAAAUAUAACACUCAAAGUGUUUUACUUACUCACAGCACUCUCUUUCUGUUAUAAGUUUUAAGUUUGCCCACAAAUGACAUUAAGUUGAUUGUUAGACUAUAGAGUA